rnacentral:lncRNA from 10 species
CCGCGUGUUUGCCCAGCGCCCGCCCCCGCCGCCGCGGGCCCUAAUCUCCGAUACACUUGCGAGUUGGCUUCCUGCCCCGGGGCCCCGGCUCUGCAAGCAAACAGGCCGAGCGCGGCGCUGCAUCCGAAAUGCGGCAUUUGAGCAGCGCGGCGAAGGCGAGCGGGGGAGCGGCCCACCCGGGCUGUCUGGGAAGUGAGAAUCCUCCCUAAUGGAUGUUUCACCCAAUUAAAUAAUUAACUCCAAGUGUUGCUAAGCAUCCUCGCCUCUCGCCUUCCAGUCCUGGAGGCGUCCUCAUGCCAGGCCGCGGCUGCUGCUGAGACAAGGAGCCUAGCGGGAGGAGCCAGGAGUGGGGGACAGUGCCCCUGAUGCUUCUGUACAGGAUGAGGGAGAUAAAUGCACCUGAGAGGGAAGGUAAGGAGGGCUGUUCAGAUAGGAGGCUGAGGGGAGGCUGAGACUCACAGGAAGUGGCAUUAGAACCUUCUGGAGCCUUUCUAUUGAAUAUUAAGUCCUUGAAGGUUUCCCUCUCCCCCAAUUCUUCCCAUACGCCACAGCAGGGUCCUUGUUCCUUCAAAGAAGGGGAAAGGAAGGGACACAGGCUUCUUCCUAAUGGGUAGUCUUGCGUUAUGAGGACUUACAGAGCUGAGCUGCUCUACUAACCAGACAGUCACAUAAGGAACCCCGAGGGGAGAGGCUAAAUACAUUCAUACUGUGGAAUAUCACUCAGCCGUUAAAAAGAACAAGAUACAUUUUCCUGUAUAGAUAGGAAAAGAUCUGUAAGAUACUAUAAAGUGAAAAAAUGCAGAUACCAGUAAAUGCAGUUUAAUUUAAGUAAAAAUAAUGUGCACAUGUAUGCAUAUACUUGUCUACCUGUGGAAGGAGGACUGGAACUAGGGACACCAAACUAUUCCAAGGGGUGACCUCUGUGCCUUAAAAUGGAGUGGGGAAAAGGCUAGUGCUCUCAUUUUAUUCUCUGCACCCCUGAAAUGCCUGAUUCUUGCAAGAAUGUGUUAUUAUAUCACUGCUACAAUUAAAACAGCAAUAGAGGCCGGGCGUGGUGGCUCAUUGCUUGUAAUCCCAGCACUUUGGGAGGCCGAGGCAGGUGGAUCACCUGAGGUCAAGAGUUCAAGACCAGCCUAGCCAACAUGGUGAAACCCCGUCCCUACAAAAAUACAAAAAUUAGCCAGGCAUGAUGGCAGGUGCCUGUAAUCCCAGCUACUUGGGAGGCUGAGGCAGAAGAAUCACUUGAACCUGGG